rnacentral:rRNA from 1 species
GGUGUUUACUGUCGAACUGAACACUCUACCGUUUACUGUCUGGUGGUGCUCUUCACCGAGUGUCACCAGUGGUCGGUACGUUUACUUUGAAAAAAUUAGAGUGCUCAAGCGGUUUUACACGACCGAAUACUGUUGCAUGGAAUAAUGAAAUAGGACUUGGUUCUAUUUUGUGUCUCGACCAGGUAAUGAUAGAGGGACAGACGGGGGCAUAGUAUGCGACGCUAGAGGUGAAAUUCUUGGACCGUCGCAAGACUAACUAAAGCGAAAGCAUUUGCCAACAACGUUUUCAUUAAUCAAGAACGAAAGUUAGAGGUUCGAAGGCGAUCAGAUACCGCCCUAGUUCUAACCAUAAACGAUGCCAACCAGCAAUCAGCCUGUGUUCUCUUGAUGACACGGCUGGCGGCUUCCGGGAAACCAAAGUCUUUCGGUUCCAGGGGAAGUAUGGUUGCAAAGCUGAAACUUAAAGGAAUUGACGGAAGGGCACCACCAGGAGUGGAGCCUGCGGCUUAAUUUGACUCAACACGGGGAAACUCACCCGGCCCGGACACUGUGAGGAUUGACAGGUUGAAGCCCUUUCUUGAUUCAGUGGGUGGUGGUGCAUGGCCGUUCUUAGUUGGUGGAGUGAUUUGUCUGGUUAAUUCCGAUAACGAACGAGACUCUAGCCUACUAAUUAGACCGUGGCGUCCUCGUGCCGCCACGGCGCUUCCUAGAGGGACAGACGG